GGCCAGGUAGCUCAGUUGGUAGAGCAGCAGACUGAAAAUCUGCGUGUCGGCAGUUCGAUUCUGCCCCUGGCCA
rnacentral:tRNA from 2 species